ACGCUCACAACGCUCUUUUGUCAUAGUUAGACAGAUCAAACCGCGACCAUACAUUGCCAUGAAGUUAAUCGCUUCAGGGGUAAUAUGUUCCGCUGCCAUGAUUA
rnacentral:antisense_RNA from 1 species